rnacentral:rRNA from 1 species
CACGUAGGGGGCGAGCGUUGUCCGGAUUUAUUGGGCGUAAAGCGCGCGCAGGCGGUUCAUUAAGUCUGGUGUGAAAGCUCCCGGCUCACCUGGGAGAGGGCACUGGAGACUGGUGGACUGGAGCGAGGCAGAGGCCGGUGGAAUUCCCGGUGUAGUGGUGAAAUGCGUAGAGAUCGGGAGGAACACCAGUGGCGAAGGCGGCCGGCUGGGCCUUGACUGACGCUGAGGCGCGACAGCGUGGGGAGCGAACCGG